CUUCCCAUGUUUCCUAGCUCAGUGGAAACACAUCUGCUUUGCAUGCAGAAGGUCCCAGGUUCAAAACCCUGCAUCUCCUGGUAAGA